AGGGCUAUACUCAGUGGUAGAGCACAUGCCUAGCAUGCAUGAGGUCCUGGGUUCAAUGCCCAGUACCUCCG
rnacentral:tRNA from 1 species